rnacentral:lncRNA from 1 species
CGGAAGCGCGGUAAGUGUGAGGGCUCUCCCCAGGCGGUGAAGUGGCCUGUCCUACUUGUGAGUGCCUGCAAGGGCCGAGCUCGGACCCUGACAAGCCGGGCCUCCUCCUCUCCCUCCGGCGGGUCCCACGGCUCUUAGGGAAGGGGCAGGAAGGGGGAGGGGAGGGGAGGGAGGGAGGAAGGAAGGAAGAGAGGGAGGAGGAGGAGGAGGAAGGAAGGGCUGCCCUGGGGAGCCAGACCUGCCCAGAGGACAGAAUGGGCCCGGCAUGCCACAGUGCCUGGGACAAAGACCUGGAAGAAGCUAUUGAGGCUUCAUUGUGCAAACCCACGUGGCUGAUUAGGAGGGCUGGGAGGGGCUGUCUGGGGCGCCCCCGCCCUUGUGGGAUCCUCCGGAGGCUCUUUUGAGAAAGGACAAAACCGCGGCCGAACUCUGGUGGGCGAGCACAAAGGGCGGCGCGGGCUGGAGGACCCCCUCGAUGUUCCCAGGAAUGGCGCUCCCCAAUGACCCGCAGUUCAUCCUGCCUCACAAUGGGCUUCCCGCGGAGCCCCCGACACAGCCAGGGCCGGCUCUGGCCGCGCUUGGCUGGAGGGCCGUCCGCCAUCGCUGUGGAUGGUCCGGGGGAGGGGGCGGGGCUCUCAGGCCCGGGCGGAGCCUCUCCCGCCAUCCAGCGCCUUCCUCCAUCUCCCCCCCAGUCUCCCGCACACCUGGUGGGCGACCCACCAAGGCCAGCCACAGCGGAAGGGCUCCUCCGGCCCAAAGCUUGUCUUCCCUUGAAUGGGGGCCUUUGACGGAGCUGGAUACCGAGGCGGGACCCAGGGACAAGCUCUUGGGGACAGGGGCGAGCUCUAGUGCCCGAUGCUGUCGGCUUGUCCAACGCUCCCUCACAGAAUGACCAGGUGGAGGACCGCCUGACGGGACCCCAUGCCUGGGUGCAGGAGCCGGCCCUAACCCUGCCAGCUCCGGGACAGCCAAGGCCCUUCUGGUCGAAGGCUCACCCUGCUGGGCAGAGCUUGGCUCUGAGUUCUUCUUGCUUUCUUUGUGGUGUGUAAAUCCUAGGAAGUCCCCCACCCCCGCCCCCCCAGGGAGAUCAUUCCCUGCUGACUUCACUGCCAGCUUGAGAAAAGGGGUGUAUGUGUGAGAGAAGACUGGACUGGACUGUGGGCAAGAAGACCAAGGUUCAAAUCCCUUCUUAUACACUCUUCUCUGCUCUGUGCCUCUAUGCCCUUAAGUGUAAAGCAAGAACAUGGGCCUUUCAACCCAUAGCAGUGAUGGUGAACCUUUUAGGGACAGAGUGCUGUGCCCUGCCCCCUCCCAGUGAUGGAAUGCCUCCCUCCUGGGCCACCUUACCUUACUCGGGGAGGGAGAAAGGGAGGAGAGUGGCCAGAGCACUGGGCUCAGAGAAGAAGAAGAAGUGCUUCCAUUGGGCUGCUGGGCAGAGGGAUGGGA